GGAGACGUACUCAAGAGGCUAAGAGGACACCCUGCUAAGGUGUUAGAUCGCUAUGCGAUGCAUGAGUUCGAAUCUCAUCGUCUCCGCCA
rnacentral:tRNA from 1 species